rnacentral:rRNA from 1 species
AAGCCUUUGCGGCAUGGGAUGGGGUCGCGUCCUAUCAGCUUGAUGGCGGGGUAACGGCCCACCAUGGCUUCGACGGGUAGCCGGCCUGAGAGGGCGACCGGCCACAUUGGGACUGAGAUACGGCCCAGACUCCUACGGGAGGCAGCAGUGGGGAAUAUUGCACAAUGGGCGCAAGCCUGAUGCAGCGACGCCGCGUGAGGGAUGGAGGCCUUCGGGUUGUAAACCUCUUUUGUUAGGGAGCAAGGCACUUUGUGUUGAGUGUACCUUUCGAAUAAGCACCGGCUAACUACGUGCCAGCAGCCGCGGUAAUACGUAGGGUGCAAGCGUUAUCCGGAAUUAUUGGGCGUAAAGGGCUCGUAGGCGGUUCGUCGCGUCCGGUGUGAAAGUCCAUCGCUUAACGGUGGAUCCGCGCCGGGUACGGGCGGGCUUGAGUGCGGUAGGGGAGACUGGAAUUCCCGGUGUAACGGUG